rnacentral:rRNA from 1 species
GACGAACGCUGGCGGCGUGCUUAACACAUGCAAGUCGAACGGUGUCCGGGCUCUCGGGUUUGGGGUUAGUGGCGAACGGGUGAGUAACACGUGAGUAACCUGCCCCCUUCUUUGGGAUAACGUUUGGAAAUGAGCGCUAAUACUGGAUAUUCUUGCUGCAUCCCAUGUUUUGGUUUGGAAAGGGUUUUUGGUGGGGGAUGGGCUCGCGGCCUAUCAGCUUGUUGGUGGGGUGAUGGCCUACCAAGGCUUUGACGGGUAGCCGGCCUGAGAGGGUGUCCGGCCACACUGGGACGGAGAAACGGGGCAGGAGACUAAGGGAAGAAGCAGGGGGGAAUCAGGAAUAAGGAGUGCAAGCCAGAGGGAGAGAGGCCGAGGGAGGGACGACGGGCGUGGGGUUGUAAACCUCGUUUAGUAGGGAACCAGGAGUAUUGAUGAAGGGGGUGUGAGGGUACGUGCAGAAGAAGCGCCGGCUAACUACGUG